rnacentral:rRNA from 1 species
AUACAUAGCAUAUCAGAAGGCACACCCGGAGAACUGAAACAUCUUAGUACCCGGAGGAAGAGAAAGAAAAUUCGAUUCCCUUAGUAGCGGCGAGCGAAACGGGAAGAGCCCAAACCAACAAGCUUGCUUGUUGGGGUUGUAGGACACUCUAUACGGAGUUACAAAGGACGACAUUAGACGAAUCAUCUGGAAAGAUGAAUCAAAGAAGGUAAUA